UUUAUGGAGAGUUUGAUCCUGGCUCAGGAUGAACGCUGGCGGCGUGCCUAAUACAUGCAAGUCGAGCGAACGGACGAGAAGCUUGCUUCUCUGAUGUUAGCGGCGGACGGGUGAGUAACACGUGGAUAACCUACCUAUAAGACUGGGAUAACUUCGGGAAACCGGAGCUAAUACCGGAUAAUAUUUUGAACCGCAUGGUUCAAAAGUGAAAGACGGUCUUGCUGUCACUUAUAGAUGGAUCCGCGCUGCAUUAGCUAGUUGGUAAGGUAACGGCUUACCAAGGCAACGAUGCAUAGCCGACCUGAGAGGGUGAUCGGCCACACUGGAACUGAGACACGGUCCAGACUCCUACGGGAGGCAGCAGUAGGGAAUCUUCCGCAAUGGGCGAAAGCCUGACGGAGCAACGCCGCGUGAGUGAUGAAGGUCUUCGGAUCGUAAAACUCUGUUAUUAGGGAAGAACAUAUGUGUAAGUAACUGUGCACAUCUUGACGGUACCUAAUCAGAAAGCCACGGCUAACUACGUGCCAGCAGCCGCGGUAAUACGUAGGUGGCAAGCGUUAUCCGGAAUUAUUGGGCGUAAAGCGCGCGUAGGCGGUUUUUUAAGUCUGAUGUGAAAGCCCACGGCUCAACCGUGGAGGGUCAUUGGAAACUGGAAAACUUGAGUGCAGAAGAGGAAAGUGGAAUUCCAUGUGUAGCGGUGAAAUGCGC
rnacentral:rRNA from 1 species